rnacentral:rRNA from 1 species
UACGGAGGGAGCAAGCGUUACUCGGAAUUAUUGGGCGUAAAGGGCGCGUAGGCGAUCCGACAAGUCUGGUGUGAAAGCCCACAUGUUAACUGUGGAAGUGCAUUAGAAACUGUUGGAUUUGAGUUCAGGAGAGGAAAGCAGAAUUCCCGGUGUAGCGGUGAAAUGCGUAGAGAUCGGGAGGAAUACCAGUGGCGAAGGCGGCUUUCUGGACUGACACUGACGCUGAGGCGCGAAAGCCAGGGGAGCAAACGGG